AACAACUUCCUGGAGUGUGUUGACAUUUGUAAGUUCUGCCCAUGCUGGACUGCACUCCUGGCUGCAGCAAUUGGCCGGCGCUGAGUAAAAGUUCCCCUUCCGCCCCAGGCCUCACCCUGCCCUAUCGCCCUAUCAGGCUGGCUCCGCUCUCUGCCGGGCUCCUCCACGUGUUUCAGCUUAUGGCCCAGAGACAGCUGCAGAGCUAAACCAGACCCUAAAUAUCCACUCCCUGGGUCCUGGCCGUGCUCCGAGGCCAGUCUGCCUCCCCUCCACGCAGCUCUCUUUGGGCCGGGGCUGAGCUGGGAUUCUGUCUGAGCAAAGGUUCAGCAGCUUCCAGCUGCCGCCCCUGCGCAGAGGUCCUUCACACAGCAGCCUGUGGUGCUGCUACAAACGGUGGUUCUUUGUUUUCCAGUUCUUUUACCCCUGCGGUGACUUUUAUUACUUAAUUAUUACACACCCCAUGCUUCUGAGCAGCCUAAUUUAUAGCUGUGUUUUCUAAUGACACUAGAUUCAUAAUCUGAAAAUAUCUACCCCAAGAGACCGUUCACAACAGAAAAGCUCUCUUCUCAGCAGUCCCCGGUACAUCCAUCGCCACCACAAAGGCACCCUCAGCCCUCCUGCGGGCUCGGCUGACAUCCUCAUGUCUAGCUCCGGCCAGCAGCUCUUAUUACUGGGAAAGGGGCUUGGGGCAUGAGAGUAACCGACAAACCCUGGGAGUCCCAACGGCCCCAGCCUGGGUUCUCUGAAGGAGACCGGCAGGCUGUGCCCCUUCUGCUGGGGCGCAUUACCUUGGAUACAAAGAUGUAAUUGAAGAAUACAUAGCGGCUUUAGCUGUAACAGUGCAAAACUGGAAAACAAAAACAUCCUUCAAUGAAUGAAUGAAAAGGAGAGGAUGAAAAGACAAGCUAUAGAUCAGAAGAACAUCCAAUUCCAUCCAUACCAUGGAAUACCACUCAGCAACGAAAAAGAAUGAACUCUCCCUACAUGCAACAUCUCAGAUGAACUCUAGGCCUUAUGCAGAGCAAAAAAGGCCAACCUCAAAAGGUUACACGCUGUGUGAUUCCAUAUAUUUAACAUUCUUGAAAUUUUCCAGGCAUUGGGAAAUAGAGGGAAGCAGGGUUCACUAUAGGGGGUGUGAGGAAGAUCUUUGGAUGACAGAACAGUUUUGUGUCUUGAUUGUGUCACACAAAUCUACACAUGUGAUAAAACUGCAAGAACUAAAUACAUCACACACACACACACAUACACACAUGCCCACAUGCAGAUGAGGGCAUAUAAAAUUGGCAGCUGAAUGGAAUCUGUGCAUAGUACCAAUGUCAAGUUUUUGGUUUUCAUUUUGCAAUCUAGUUAUGUGAAAUUUUGUCAUUGUGGGGAACUGGGUGAAGAGGACGUGGGUUUUCUCUGUACAAACUUUCUCUUUAAAACUUUCUGUGAAUUUAUAAUCAUCUCAAAGUAAAAUUUUUUUUAAAUGCAA